AUCCUGCAGAGCUUCAAUAAGUACACACGGGUGAGCUGUUAGGUGCCUCUCUGUGGUCUUGGCUGGUGACAGACCAGCUAGAUUCCUGCAAAGCUCUGGCUGGACCUACCCUUGAGACUGCUGUGGCACAGACUGAGAAGAGUCGGUUUUCUCAGGCCUCCAGUUGUCUGCUCCCGAGUUGUGGAGGGCCUUGAUGGUAGUCAUCCUGCUGAGCUUGGUGCUGUCAGGGCCCUGUUGUCUGUGGAAGCUUAGAGAUGUCUAGUGUUUCCAGGCUCACUCUCAGGAUCCAAGCUUUUCUGAGAAGGGUCUUUUAUUCUAGCCCUGUCAGACCCAUGGCUUAUGAGUGAGCCAGAGUACUGACCUCACACGCGCCCCUCCCCAGCUGGGGUCCAUGGCCUACCUUGUCCUCUCUUUCUCUGUAAAGUGGCCAGAAAAGGUUGGAGCUAGAUGUGGUCUAAAUGUGACACCUAGCUCUUUGUUCCAGACUUCAGCAGCUCCACAUUUUUGCCUGUAGCUGCCCUGGGUUGUGCAUAACAAGCUAGACCCUGGACAGGUGCUGUAGCUGUACCCCUUGUGGAGGUAUUUUCUGGCCACUCGGGGGUUGUUGGCAUUUUACAGGGUCCUCUGUAGAGAUGUGGUUGACUUUGGCUAUUACCUAGGUAGUUACGAGGAUGGAGCCUACCCAAGGGCCACAUAGGUAGGGCUGAGCAAGUCGCCUAACUGACACCUAAGCUAGUGCUUCUCCUCCUGUGGCACUGAAGCUUUGACUCUUACACAGGUUCCCUCGGGUGGCUAU
rnacentral:lncRNA from 1 species